GAUGAACGCUGGCGGCGUGCCUAAUACAUGCAAGUCGAGCGAACAGACGAGGAGCUUGCUCCUCUGACGUUAGCGGCGGACGGGUGAGUAACACGUGGAUAACCUACCUAUAAGACUGGGAUAACUUCGGGAAACCGGAGCUAAUACCGGAUAAUAUAUUGAACCGCAUGGUUCAAUAGUGAGAGACGGUUUUGCUGUCACUUAUAGAUGGAUCCGCGCCGCAUUAGCUAGUUGGUAAGGUAACGGCUUACCAAGGCAACGAUGCGUAGCCGACCUGAGAGGGUGAUCGGCCACACUGGAACUGAGACACGGUCCAGACUCCUACGGGAGGCAGCAGUAGGGAAUCUUCCGCAAUAGGCGAAAGCCUGACGGAGCAACGCCGCGUGAGUGAUGAAGGUCUUCGGAUCGUAAAACUCUGUUAUUAGGGAAGAACAAAUGUGUAAGUAACUAUGCACGUCUUGACGGUACCUAAGCAGAAAGCCACGGCUAACUACGU
rnacentral:rRNA from 1 species